CUUGGUCAUUUAGAGGAAGUAAAAGUCGUAACAAGGUUUCCGCUGAAUAAGUUCUGGAAUAUUUGAUUCUUCCGCGGUUAACACUUAUUGAAGCCUUUGUAGCCCUGCAAUGGGUAGCGUCCUCGACUAUAAAUAAUGGUAGCAGUUGCAAGUCAAUCGCCUAGGCGUUGGCAACAUAAUCGAAAUGCGGGGAUCUCCUAAAGCCUAAUAGUACUAACUAGUCGUGGAAACACUGCUAGGGCUUAUGCUAACAGCAUGAGGUACAGUAAUAAUCUAUUAGGAUGUACAAUGGAUAAUCCGCAGCGAAGCCUCUACCGGUCAUCAACCAAUGGGGAGCGUUCACAGACUAAGUGGUUGUGGGCAAUACGGUAGUAUUGUCUAAGAUAUAGUCGGUCCACUGGGGAAAUCCAGAGGGUAAGUUACUGUCGUAACCGAAACGUUCCGUAGGUGAACCUGC
rnacentral:rRNA from 1 species